rnacentral:rRNA from 1 species
GACGAACGCUGGCGGCGUGCUUAACACAUGCAAGUCGAGCGGUAAGGCCCUUUCGGGGGUACACGAGCGGCGAACGGGUGAGUAACACGUGGGUGACCUGCCCUUAGCUCUGGGAUAAGCCUGGGAAACUGGGUCUAAUACUGGAUAUGACUCCACGGCGCAUGUUGUGGGGUGGAAAGCCUUGUGCGGCUGGGGAUGGGCCCGCGGCCUAUCAGCUUGUUGGUGGGGUGAUGGCCUACCAAACCUA